UAGAACUAAUAUUUUUCAUGAGUAGAAUGAUGGAGUAACAUCCUGAAAUGCUCUCGUUAAUACUCCGAUUAGCAAUUUAUUGGAUAAAAAUAAGUUGUUAAAAGCUCGGUGAAGUCGGCUGAAAGCUACCGAAAAGAAUUGUGGAUUAUACCCAACUAACGAAAUCUGCCCAGAGGUGGGUGGUGUAGCCCAUAGGUCGGAUGCCUAUAAA
rnacentral:ncRNA from 1 species